rnacentral:ncRNA from 1 species
GUAUUGUAUGAAAGGAGAGAAGGUUAGCACUCCCCUUGGCAAGGAUGGAAGAGGCCUUUGAGUCUGACAACAGGCAUCUAAUUAUAUUUUUGUUGUUGCUGUUGUUGCUGUUUUUU